rnacentral:pre_miRNA from 1 species
GAUGUACUCCCUCUGUCCUAAAAUUCUUGUCUUAGAUUUGUAUAGAAAUAGAUGUAUCAAAAUACUAAAAUGUGACUAUAUACAUUCAUAUCUAUACAAAUCUAAGAUAAGAAUUUUAUGACGGAGGAAGUAUUUG